rnacentral:rRNA from 1 species
GGGGAAUAUUGCAAAAUGGGCGAAAGCCCGAUGCAGCAACGCCGCGUGGGCGAUGAAGGCCUUCGGGUCGUAAAGCCCUUUUUGAGGGGAUGAGGAAGGACAGUACCCUCAGAAUAAGCCUCGGCUAACUACGUGCCAGCAGCCGCGUUAGAACGUAGGAGGCGAGCGUUAUCCGGAUUUACUGGGCGUCAGGCGCGUGCAGGCGGAUUGGAGAGUUGGAUGUGAAAGCUCCCGGCCUAACUGGGAGAGGUCGUUCAAUACUUCCAGUCUUGGGUGCAGUAGAGGGAAGUGGAAUUCCGGGUGUAGUGGUGAAAUGCGUAGAUAUCCGGAGGAACACCAGUGGCGAAAGCGGCUUCCUGGACUGUAACUGACGCUCAGACGCGAAAGCUAGGGUAGCAAACG